UACGGGGGGGGCAAGCGUUGUUCGGAAUUACUGGGCGUAAAGGGCGCGUAGGCGGCCAUGCGUGUCUUCCGUGAAAUCCCUCGGCUUAACUGAGGACGUGCGGAAGAAACUGCAAGGCUUGAGUCCGGGAGAGGAGGAUGGAAUUCCCAGUGUAGCGGUGAAAUGCGUAGAUAUUGGGAGGAACACCGGUGGCGAAGGCGGCCCUCUGGACCGGUA
rnacentral:rRNA from 1 species